UCGGAGUAAUCUCCGAACUCGCGGAGGUUCACGCUGGCAGACAGUUCUAGGAAAACAUGGGAACACUCACGACCCUAUUAGAAGAGUUUGUCCAUAGACAUGAGCUGAUUACGAUAUUGUUAAUAUCAAAAAGUAUCCAUUUACAAUAGAAGCACAGCAUGAGGUUAUCUUAACAACCCGUUAAAAUGUAACAUUGUAACAAGGAUAUUUCUGUAGUCAUCCAAAUAGCUAGCAUAUUACAUAUAUAUAUCUAAACAUUUUGUAGCCUAACAUUUUUAUUCACAAUACUUGAUUAUGCGCUCUUGACGUAGGCUGUUUACUUUUCUUGCCCCACACACACGUGUCUGUUUUUGUGGAACAGAAUGUACCCUGAACUAGAAGUGAACUUGAACGCCUCCCUACGAUGCAGAAAGGACAGUGCAAGCAACACUUCCGCUCUAAUGCAGAGUCAUGCUUGUGCUUAAGCAGAACGGCACGCAUGCCGUUUCCCAGCUCAAGAAGGAUCUGUUCUUUGGAAUUCUGGGAUGUAAACUACCAUAGCACACUUAAGGAGCUUUCCUGAAAAGAUACAUGAGGCAAACACAUCAGACAUGGGACUAAAUAGACUACAGAACUAAAUGAAUCAAUAAAAUAAAUGGACUACAAAUCAAUUAUUUUUGAUUCAUUUUUGGGUGCAGCUUACUGCUUUUCUUAACUUUCUUACAAAAUGAGAAAUUCAGUUUGAUAAAUGUGUAUUAUAUUUAUAAUAAAUAAAAAUGUUCUUUAAAAUCUGUGUAACAUUUAUCAGAGCCUGUGACCUUACUGAACCCGUAGCUAGUGAAUAUGGUAAAGGCUGAGAUAGAGAAACAGCUGUGAAACCUUAUAAAAGAUUUCUAUUUUUAUAUCUUUCAACAUUCAGUAAGGAAUAAUAAAACAGAU